rnacentral:lncRNA from 1 species
AAAUAAUGUACUAACAACCAACAUUUCAGCAUAAGGAGUAUCAUAAGAGUGUUUAUUUGCACAUCAGGAGUAUCACAAUUACAACUAAGGAGGCAUUGUCCCCAUUGCUGUCCCUGAGCCCUUCACAAGAAGAGUUUCAAGCCUCGCAACUUCUUCCUCCAGCUCUGCACAUACCCUCAGUUACGAACCUAAUCCCUCAGCUAUGAUUAUUUCAAGAUCAACUUUGUUUCAUCGUGGGAAAGCUAUCAUCCAUGCGCAUCAGUGAUUUCUCACGUGUUCUGCUUAAUGAAAACAUAUACAUACAUGUAUAUAAUAUCACCAUCAGUCCUCAUGUAAGGCACUUUUCAGUUUACCACUGUAAGGCAAUAUAAGCCAUUCACUUAACAUCCAUGCAAAUAAUUAAUCGUCCAAAAAUGGAAGUAGCUGACUAACAUCAUAUAGCUGGCCAAUAAAAAGUAGUUGAAAAACAGUACUAACACUACAGUGGUAGAUCAACACAUUUAGCUACCACAUGGUAUUGGUAAGAACGGGAUAACAUGAUAAAGAUAAGCUGCUAAAUGCGUAUAAGUUGAAUCAGAGAGCAACAUAAUAUAUGGGCAUUCGAAAAGAGAAGGUAAAUUCUACAAUAAGAUACAGUUGUGGCCUUAUGGGAACUGGUCAAAUUUUACAAUAUGGGCUUCUGAGGUAUCAUAUGAUAUGUAUCAAGCUAAAUUCAAGUGUCUAAUUAUAAAUUCAAAUAAAAAGAAAAUUUAUGUGGUGUCUAGCCUUAAGUUUCUUCCAUUAUUUAGUUAUAUUGUCACUGUAAUCAUGCAGUUCAAAGCGUAGAAUUAUUCAGUAAACUGAUGUACUGAAAUGAAGUGGCUGUCAUCUUUUUCUUUCCUAAUUCAGAAUCUUCAACCUUAGGUACAGAUCAUGCCAUCGGUCCACAUAGCAAAGAUAAUGAUGCAGCCUCUGCCAACAAUAGAGCUCUCUCCUCAUAUUCAUAAAGUAAUAAAAAAACAAUCAAAUGGUUGCCAUCUUUUUCUUACUAAUUCAGAAUCUCCAAACUUAGGUACAGAUCCUGCCAUCGUCCACAUAGCAAAGAUCAACCAUAUCACUUGUGGAAAUGAUGCAGUCACUGCCAACAAUAGAGUUCUCUCCUCAUAUCCCUAAAAAUAUGAAAAACAAACAAAUCAAAAUUUAUGUAUAAAAGCACACUCAAAUAAGAAAAUCUGAGGCAAUAUGCACCAUGGCUUGAUCAGAGUGCAAGACAACAAGAGGAGAAGAGAAAGGCUAGAACCUGCAAGCUCAAGAAGCAGAGCAUGUUGUUGAGGCAAGGAAUGAGAGAAAUCUGAAUCGCCGGGUCGUGUCGUCUCGGAAGGUGAUGACCACAGGCAUACCCUCUUCCACCCCCGCGCCUUCGCCCUCUUCCUCGGGCAGCUCUCGUGGCUUCCAGGUCCAGCUGUUCGAUCCUAAAGCAACAGAGUAAAUAUCGACAAUACUUAAUUACCAUUAUAGAAGGGGAGCCUUGGCGCAGUGGUAAAGCUGCUGCCUUGUGACCAUGAGGUCAUGGGUUCAAGUCCUGGAAACAGCCUCUUACAGAAAUGUAGGGAAAGGCUGCGUACUAUAGACCCAAAGUGGUCGGACCCUUCCCUGGACCCUGCGCAAGCGGGAGCUACAUGCACCAGGUUGCCCUUUACUUAAUUACCAUUAUAGAGAUUCUCUCCUACAAAUUCAUAUGAAACAUAGUGUGCAUAGAAGCAACACGUACAGGUCAACUCCAUAUAUUUGAAUGAACACAUGCAAAGUAUUCCACGGCCUUCUAUAUGAAAUUUAGACCAUUUUUG